rnacentral:misc_RNA from 1 species
GAUAUUAAAAGGAUUUUCAUCUCUUUAUAUAUCAAAAAUUUUCCAAACUUAAGUUCGACAAUAUCAAGAAUUUACUUCGGUAAAACGUAACUCAUGAUCCGCAGUCAUGAAAACUUUUGUCAUGUGUAGGGAAAAGCGCAGAAACAAAAAUUGCAUGUAGAAUCAUACACGGUAAUUAAAAUGAGGAGUAGUAAUAUAUUUUUAAGGCGAGGUGAAUGAUUUACAUAAUAAAUGGUCAGCGCAUACAAGAAAGUCCGACUGUUGGCGAUGCAGAGGUAAUAUUGGUCGCACUUCCACCAUACAGACAGUACCCACGUUCCGUUUACAUUUUAAAGGCGGUUUUUUAACGUGAUCACUUUAAACGCUUAUUAGAGGCUAGCGAACCGCACAAGAUGUCAUACAAGUACUUUUGCGUAAGCUUCAUCGACAUGUGAAUAACUUUGAAAGCUAGCGCAAUGUUUUCACAGUAGUGUGGGAAAACAGAUUUGAACAGAGGGAAAUUGAGAAAUUUAACAACUAGGAUUUUUUCCCGUACAACUUUUUCCUUAGCUUCUUAAUUAUC